rnacentral:rRNA from 1 species
ACUACGGGCGGCAGCAGUGGGGAAUAUUGGGCAAUGGGCGCAAGCCUGACCCAGCAACGCCGCGUGAAGGAAGAAGGCUUUCGGGUUGUAAACUUCUUUUCUCAGGGACGUCGCAAGUGACGGUACCUGAUGACUAAGCCCCGGCUACCUACGUGCCAGCAGCCGCGGUACUACGUAGGUGGCAAGCGUUAUCCGGAUUGACUGGGUGUAACGGGCGUGUAGGCGGGACUGCAAGUCAGAUGUGAAACCCACGGGCUCAACCUGUGGCCUGCAUUUGAAACUGUAGGUCGUGAGUACUGGAGAGGCAGACGGAAUUCCUAGUGUAGCGGUGAAAUGCGUAGAUAUUAGGAGGAACACCAGUGGCGAAGGCGGUCUGCUGGACAGCAACUGACGCUGAGGCGCGAAAGCGUGGGGAGCAAACAGGAUUAGAUACCCUAGUAGUC